AAACUAGGCACGGGGUGUCUCCGCCUUUGGCUGUAUAUGGUUAGUCGGUGACGGCAAUAUGGCAACUAGGUGGGGAAUUUGUACCGCGGGACAGAUCAGCAAUGACUUCACCGUCUCCCUUAAGACACUCCCUCCGGAAGACCACCAUGUAUAACCAUUUUAACGAACAAGGAAGCGCUGGUAACGUCUCUAAAUUUAGCGAUGCUUGGUUAAGACAUUAUAAAUAGAACUACCAACGACAGUCACACAGGCUCAACAACCAAAGCUAAAACCGACAGAUCCCCUCUCCCAUGUGGUGCCCUUCAUCUCUGGUGGUGAACGGGAAGGAGACGGAGUACCCGCUGCCUGAGCCCUGCAUGGCCAUGAACUUCACCAACAGCACCGGCCUGCGCUACGAGGCCGAGGAGGGGUGGCGCCUCAAAGGUGUCUGCGUGUCUGCUCAAAGGGUUGAAAGAGAGCUCCAGGAUGCCUCUGGCUGAUUCCGCCCUGCUCACAGAGAUCAUGGAUGAGGCCAGAAGACAAGUGGGAGUGGUCUUCAACCAGGACAGCCAAUGACAGCUCUUUGUGUCCUCAGCACUUCCUGUUAUUAUUUGUGUCCUCAUUCACUUCCUGAAUGAUCUUCCUUGGUGUAAGGUGUAGGCUACUGUUAUCUGGCCUUGCACAGCUGCCUGUCAUGUCCAG
rnacentral:lncRNA from 1 species